rnacentral:misc_RNA from 1 species
UUAAGUUCAGCGGGUAGUCCCACCUGAUUCGAGGUCAAAGGGUGAAGUGAGUUUGUCACAAAGGACGAUUAGAAGCAAUCCAAGGCAUACAUGGCCAUCCGCCCUAGAGCAGAUGUCCUCAGCGGUCAGAGAAUUAUCACGCCGAGUAGAACCAAGUACACAAGUCAUGGAUCAGCUAAUGCAUUUAAGACGAGCCGUCA